GCCGGGCGCGGUGGCACGUCCUUGUAGUCCCAGCUACUCUGGAGGCUGAGGUGGGAGGAUUGCUUGAGCCCAGGAGUUCUGGGCUGUAGUGCACUAUGCUGAUCGGGUGUCCGCACUAAGUUCGGCAUCAAUAUGGUGACCUCCCGGGAGCAGGGGACCACCAGGUUGCCUAAGGAGGGGUGAACCGGCCCAGGUCGGAAACAGAGCAGGUCAAAACUCCCGUGCUGAUCAGUAGUGGGAUCGCGCCUGUUAAUAGCCACUGCACUCCAGCCUGGGCAACAUAGCGAGACCCCCUCUCAA
ensembl:misc_RNA Metazoa_SRP Metazoan signal recognition particle RNA